AAUAAAAUGGCUGAGGAAUAAGCGAUAAAUUGUAAAUUUAUUUACGAGAAAUUCUCUUUUAUU
rnacentral:tRNA from 1 species